GGUUCGGUAGCUCAGGGGUAGAGCAACCCGCUGCAGUCGGGUAGGUCGGACGUUCGAAUUGUCUUCGAACCU